CCCACGUUGCUCUAAUCUUAGCCCUCCAUUAGUCACGUCAAUCUGUCAGAAACUGUUCCAAUGAUGAUAUGGUUUCCACGUGCGGCUCUGUAACGUUAUCUUUCAUUUCAGUUCAAAUCAAUUCCUCCUUCCAUUUCGUUUUUUCAAUACUAUCCUCAAUAUUAAAUAACUAAACAAAACAUAUUUACUCAAAUUUAUAUUUCAAAACAUAAUUAAUAAGUCUAUUUGAUAAAAUAAAGCUCUAAUAAAUGAUUUCUUAAAAAAAGUAUGUCAACAUUCAAAGACGAAGAACAAAUCGACGAAAAACAAUGAAAAAUGACACAG
rnacentral:lncRNA from 1 species